UAAAGGAAGCGAUUCCGGCUACGGAUGGUCAUGCGUCGCAUUAGCUAGUUGGCGGGGUAACGGCCCACCAAGGCGACGAUGCGUAGGGGUUCUGAGAGGAAGGUCCCCCACACUGGUACUGAGACACGGACCAGACUCCUACGGGAGGCAGCAGUGAGGAAUAUUGGUCAAUGGCCGCAGGGCUGAACCAGCCAAGUCGCGUGAGGGAUGACGGUCCUAUGGAUUGUAAACCUCUUUUGUCAGGGAGCAAAGGGCGCCACGUGUGGCGCUUUGCGAGUACCUGAAGAAAAAGCAUCGGCUAACUCCGUGCCAGCAGCCGCGGUAAUACGGAGGAUGCGAGCGUUAUCCGGAUUUAUUGGGUUUAAAGGGUGCGCAGGCGGAAUGUCAAGUCAGCGGUAAAAUUUCGGGGCUCAACCCCGUCGUGCCGUUGAAACUGGCGUUCUUGAGUGAGCGAGAAGUAUGCGGAAUGCGUGGUGUAGCGGUGAAAUGCAUAGAUAUCACGCAGAACUCCGAUUGCGAAGGCAGCACACCGGCGCUCAACUGACGCUCAUGCACGAAAGCGUGGGUAUCGAACAGGAUUAGAUACCCUGGUAGUCCACGCAGUAAACGAUGAAUACUAACUGUCCGGGCAGAAUGAUGCCUGG
rnacentral:rRNA from 1 species